ACCGGGCGCAGUGGCACUUGCCUGUAGUCCCAGCUACUCAGGAGGCUGAGGUGGGAGGAUCACUUGAGCCCAGGAGUUCUGGGCUGCAGUGCGCUAUCGAUCGGGUGUCCGCACUAAGUUCAGCAUCAAUAUGGUGACCUCCUGGGAGCGGGGGACCACCAGAUUGCCGAAGGAGGGGUGAACUGGCCCAGGUCGGAAACGGAGCAGGUCAAAACUCCCAUGCUGAUCAGUAGUGGGAUCGCGCCUGUGAAUAGCCACCGCACUCCAGCCUGGGCAACAUAGUGAGACCCCAUCUUA
rnacentral:SRP_RNA from 1 species